rnacentral:ncRNA from 1 species
UAUAAGCAAUGACUUAGUUAAGGGAACCCACCAAAACUGUAGCGAAAGCGAGUUUUCAUAGGGGAAUUGUUACUGCUUAUGGACGCGAACCUGGAUGAUUUAUUCAUGACCAAGAUGAAGCUUGGGUGAAGGUCUGAACUGAUUGAUGUUGAAGAAUCAGUGAAUGAGUUGUGGUUAGGAGUGAAAUGCCACUUGAACCUAGAGCUAGCUGG